AUUGAACGCUGGCGGCAGGCCUAACACAUGCAAGUCGAGCGGAUGAAGGGAGCUUGCUCCUGGAUUCAGCGGCGGACGGGUGAGUAAUGCCUAGGAAUCUGCCUGGUAGUGGGGGAUAACGUCCGGAAACGGGCGCUGAUACCGCAUGCGUCCUGCGGGUGAAAGUGGGGGAUCUUCGGACCUCACGCUAUCAGAUGAGCCUAGGUCCGAUUAGCUAGUUGGUGGGUUAAAGGCCUACCAAGGCGACCAUCCGUAACUGGUCUGAGAGGAGGAUCAGUCACACUGGAACGGGGACAGGGUCCAGACGCCUACGGGAGGCAGCAGUGGGGAAUAUUGGACAAUGGGCGAAAGCCUGAUCCAGCCAGGCCGCGUGUGUGGAGAAGGUCUUCGGAUUGUAAAGCACUUCAAGUUGGGAGGAAGGGCAGUAAGUUAAUACCUUGCUGUUUUGACGUUACUAACAGAAUAAGCACCGGCUAACUUCGUG
rnacentral:rRNA from 1 species